GUCAGGUCUGUGUGUAUGCCACCUACUUCAUCCUGGAAAAUUAUUGUUGGUAACUCCUAAAAUCUCUAAUGUAGUUUUACCACUGUCUUCAUGAGACUUCCAUUCUCCAUAUGAACACUUGUUGGUUGUAGAGGCUGUAGGCAACUUUGCAGAGUUCCUUUCCAGCAGAGAUCCAGCUAAGCAGCUGCACCUUUUCUGCUAUUUACCUGUGUUGUCCAAUUUGUUGAUUAACACCUGGGAGAGAUCCGAGCUAUUUCAGCAGAAAUUUUAUAAGCCUUCUUCAACUUGGACUUACACUCCAUUAUGAAGACUACAUAGUGAAUAAUGGUAUUUGCAAA
rnacentral:lncRNA from 1 species